GCGUCAGAGGGGGUCCCUUCUACUCAAGGAGCCUGCCACCCGGCCACAAGCACCGAAACUCUGCGUUCCUAGGGAGAAAACUGCCCCUCAACCCUCCAGGGCCGGGGAAGGAGCUCCAGGGGCUCCAUGACGCCACUCACACUUACUGUCACCCUAGAAAGAUGGAAGGAAGCGAAAACCGAAACCAGUCGCACCUCUGCCUCCCAAGGUCCUUUCUGAGGAGUGAAAGUCUGAAUUUGGAGAACCCAAAGGCCCAAAUGCCCCUAAUUGCCUUCUUAUACCCCAGGGACUCACCGGGGGUAGCAGCCGGCGUCGGCGCAACAGCAACAGGGCAGGGCAAGGGGCAGGGGCGGAGCUAAAAACCCAGGGGAGAGCCCAUCCCGUAUGGUCCCGCCUACCACGUCACAACGGCUGCCAAGCACCGCCCCGCCGCGGUGCCUGCUGGGACUUGUAGUACUCAGGUGCUGGGCUCCAGGGCUGCUCAGCUGCACUAGGUGGUUUUCUCCCGUCCAGAACAGCAAUCUCACCCCAAGGAGCCUAUUUCUUCCCCUAGAAGGAGUCGUUUACUUGUACAAAAAUCACAGAAUUUUCUUUCAGUCCUGAACGAGAAAAGGCCAUUGAGAGGUCAUCUUAAUUUUCUUCUGCCUCUACAUACCACUUCACUAAGAGUCUUAUAGAUGAGACCCCUUUUUGCAUUUAAUCAUCCUUCCGUCAGCCCCUGAAGGAGACCCAGCAGUCUCCCUGGGUGUCCCAGUUUCUGUGUUUCAUCACCCACCCCCCUUUUUAAAAAAGAAUUUAUUCAUGAGAGACACAAAGAGAGGCAGAGACAUAGGCAGAGGGAGAAGCAGGCUCCCUGCAGGGAGCCUGAUGUGGGGCUUGAUCCCAGGACCCUGACGUUUCACCACUGAGCAACCCUAUACUCUCACCAUUCCCGUUCUAUAAAGAAAUUAUUUUUUUUUAACGUGAAUUUUGUCAAGGUCCUAUUCUUCCUAAUUGCAGUGUAAAAAAUAAACUCGAACUCAGAAUCCUGCUAAGUCACUUUAGAGGAGAUUCCUCACCCUUGAUAAUUGAUCAAUCCCUGGCCUGUCUUUAGCAAGAAUCCUGUUAAGUCAGUUCAGCAGGAAUCCCCCCUCCCCCACCUUUGAUGUCUCCUCUUAGUAAUUUUCCAACUUCUUGACCUUAUUGUAUUUGGAGUUGAGUGCAAUCUCCUCUAUUAUAACAUCCCUAUGGCAAUACUCCUGGAUAAAGUUUCUCUUACUGGUUUAACAAGUGUCAGAAUAAUUAUUUAAGACCUGCCAUGCUAUCUAUGGCUGGUUAAAUUUAGAAGUGCCUCUUCUGCAAGGAGUAGCAUUCUUCUAAAUCUGGAAAGAAACUUUUCUAUGCAGUCUAACUAGGGAGUUUACACCUCUGAAGACACUUUACGUUUCAUGCAGGAGGUUGAGCAUUCCUUAUACUGCCUUACCACAAAACGGGUGGCAUUCAACUGAGAAUGGUUGGCAGGGAAAUAAUAUGUAAACCAGGGACUGGGGUAUUUCUUGAAAGUUCAAUCACCUUCUGUGUUACCAAAUUAUGCUUCUUUCAUUUUAAGCUCUGCCCACAGGGAUAAGUGCCCUCAGUAUCUGGAUACAUCUUUAAUUUUCCUUACUAGCUUUUAAAAAAGCUGUUAGAAUUGACAUCCCCUACACCCACACACCUUAACAUCCAUCUUAACACAACUAUUUCAUGGCACCUUUGCCUGGAUGUUAAAAAUGCAAAUGAAAUCGUUGUGCAUUUCUGGAGUCAUCUAAAAGCACCACCAAUUUUCUAAUAGAAAGCAUCACAUGAUGAUAGUUCUAUAUAUUUCAAGACUCUUAGAACCCCUGGCCUCAAAAUUCUUGCUUGGCUGUGUCCACCAAUCCUAGGCUGUUAUAUCAUGACUCUUAUCCUCAACUUUUGCCUCUACUUUCACAUUGAAAGAUCAACCCCUCCGCCCAAACCAAACUUCAAAGUCUCAAUAAAUACCACUAUUUUGUCCUGCUUCUGAGCUGCUUCUACAACUUUGUCAAGAGAAGUGUUCUUCCUCACUGAGGCAAAAGACCCUGCAGGCAAAACAUCUCCUGCUCUGAAACUACCCCCUGAAGCAACAAGGAUUGCCCUGAGCCAGCAGGACUCCAAAAGACCAACUCCAAGACAGUGAUAGACCUGACCUUUACUGCCCACCUGUUUGAACCCACUGACCUUUGUCCCACAUUUUCCUCGUAGAAACUGCAAGUAUUUUCAGCACUUCACAGACGGUCUUUGAGACUGUCUACUGUCUUCCCGUGUUGGCCUCCCUGAAAUAAAUUCCUUUCUUGUUUCUCUGUGA